ensembl:lncRNA
UUCCUCAUUUGUAAAAUGACAGGGCUGGGUUGGAUAACUGGUGCUAUUUAGAGCAAUACAAUUCUCUGGUUCACAGAAAUAUUGUAAAUAUCUAAAGGAAGCCAGUGAAGCAAAGUUGGCUUCUGAGCUGUCACUUAGAAGGAAUUCUUAAACCACAGACCAGUAAGUAGCAAUUUCAGUGAAACAAUCUGUAACUGAAUUUAAAUGACGUUAAAAAAAAAGUCAAAUCCUAUGGGAGUAUGUCUGAGAAUGUUGAAAUGCAUUGGCUAUUUCAACAUGACUUUUUAGUAGUUGUAAUAUUAAUAAUAUCAUCAUAAUAUUAAAAAGAAAGAUAACUCUAGUAGCAUUACUGUACCACAAAUAAAACAUGAAACAAUACGACCCAUAUUAUUAGUCAAUGUGGAUUCUGCUUUUUUCUAAUGCCAUUGCAAAAUGUGUCAUCAGGAAAAGAACAUCUGCUUGAAAGACCUCUGGAAGAACUAAGGCAAUUGGAAUGCUGGAAACUGUGUCUCUAAGGAUUCAGAAGAACUGGAGUAUUACAAGUACUGAUCAGCAUCUUGCUUCCCCACCCCCCAACUUUAUGUUUGGGAGAAUUUCCCGUAUCCCUACAUACAGAUAUGUAUCCUCAUUUUUUUUUUUAAUGGUGAUCCUCCGUUUUGACAUAUUUAUUCAUGUAUUUCUGGCAGGUCUGGGUCUUUGCUGCUGUGCGGGCUUUUCUCCAGGUGUGGUGCUUGGGCUUCUCACUGCAGGGCUGCUCUGUCGCAGGGCACGGGCUCUAAGGCUGGCAGCUUCAGCAGUGAUGCUCACGGGCUCAGCAGCUGCAGCUGCUGGGCUCUAAAGCACAGGCUCAAAAGUUGCGGCACACGGGCUUCGUUGCUCCGUGGCCCGCGGGAUCUUCCUUGAUCAGGGAUAGAACCUGUGUCUCCUGCGUUGGCAGGUGGAUUCUUUACCACUGAGCCACCAGGGAAGCCUCAGUAUACUCACCUUUUUGUACAGAUGUAUAAUCCAUUGUAAGGAUCACCAAAGCUUAUUUAAUUAGUUCACUUUGGUUGGCUGGAUUGUCCCUAAAAAAAAUUUUACACCCAAAAGAAUAAUCUUCAAAAUUUUCAAAUUUAAGUAAACAGGGACAUCAACAUUUUAGGAGAGAUACUGGCUAUGAACUAACCAAUUGGGUUUUAUGUGUAUGUUCCAGUUAAAUAUUAGCCCUGAAAAAUCUUUUUGCAUAUAUCAAAUAUAUCUGUAGACUGUGGAAUCUAUAGAAUCCACAGAUGUAGUCUCAGAAACAGAAUUGCUGGACUAACUGCCAAACUGUCCUUCAUAGGAGUUAUGCCAAUUUAUAUUCUCACUGGAUCUUUCUUUUUAUACAACCUUGUCAAAAGAGAGUUAUCAGACUUUUGCCAAUCAGAUAGCCGAAAAAUAAUAUUUCAGGGUAGUUUUAAUUUUCAUGUUUCUUAAUAUGAAUGAGGUGAAACUGAACAACUUUUUAUAUGUGUAAGGGACAUUUGUGGGCUUUUUUUUCUAGUGGAAAAUUGUUUAUCUCCUUUGCUUAUCAUCCUAUGUUAUUCUAUAGGCUGAUAUCUUUUAUUUUUUCUUGAUUUGUAGGAGGUCUGAUGCAAUAGGGAGAUGAACUUAUUGUUCAGGAUUCGAGUUACAAUCUCUGCCCCUCAGUUAACCAAUUAUCUUUUGACUUUACUUCUGGUGUUUUCAUUCCAUACUGAUUCUUUUUCCCUUUACAACUUCUUGAUUUUAAGUCAAAAUUAGAAAGCCUUCUCCUACUCCAAGAUUGUAAUAGAGCUCUCCAAUGUGUUCAUUUAAUAGUAGUAAAUUUUUCACAUUUAAUUCUAUGAUCUACUUGGAAUUUCUCCUGCUGCCAGCUGGGAGGUAUGAAUCUAACUAUGUUUUCAAACUGUGGUGCUGGAGAAGAGUCUCGAGAGUCCCUUGGACUUCAAGGAGAUGAAACUAGUCAAUUCUAAAGGAAACCAACCUUAAAUAUUCAUUGGAAGGACUGACGCUAAGCUGAAGCUUCAAUACUUUGGCCACCUGACAUGAAGAGCUGACUCACUGGAAAAGACCCUGAUGCUGGGAAAGAUUGAGGGCAGGAGGAGAAGGGGACAACAGAGGAUGAGAUGGUUGGAUGGCAUCACUGGCUCAAUGGACAUGAGUUUGAGCAAACUCAGGGAGAUAGUGAAGGACAGGAAAGCCUGACAUGCUGUAGUCCAUGGGGUCACCAGGAGUCAGACAUGACUGAGCGACUGAACAACAACAAAUAUAGUUUCACUAAAGAUUUCUGCAGUUUGUCUUACACAACAUCAUGGCCAUUUCCUGUACUCAUGAAUAAUUUGCCUGAUACAAAUUUUGUGAUGUAUUUUCUACCCAGUGUCUCUGCACUCAUAAUUGACAUUUGUAACAGACUGCCCAGCUGAUGGGAACAGGCAAUGGCACCCCACUCCAGUACUCUUGCCUGGAAAACCCCAUGGACGGAGGAGCCUGGUAGGCUGCAGUCCAUGGGGUCGCUAAGAGUCGUAUCUGACUUCCCUUUCACUUUUCACUUUCAUGCAUUGGGGAAAGAAAUGGCAGCCCACUCCAGUGUUCUUGCCUGGAGAACCCAGGGACAGGGGAACCUGGUGGGCUGCUGUCUAUGGGGUCACACAGAGUCGGACACGACUGAAGGGACUUAGCAGCAGCAGCAGCAGCCUAGCUGAUAGCUCUUGCCUCCAUUUUCCUUGCCACAGGUCCUAACUUUGCUUGGACAACUAGCCCGCCAUGAUAUGUUAGGGUCAUUAACCUAAGCCUGCUGUUCUUCUUCUCUGGGACUGGCUUCAGUGGUGGCAUGUGACCUCUUUCUAGUCAAUAAGAUGUGGGAAAGGUCUGCUGGAAGGCUUCUGAGAAAAUUUUCUUCUAUUUUAAACUGAGACCAAGAGGGAAAAAAACAAUCCCUCUUCCUCCACUGUGUUUACUUGAGAGUCCCUGGAGAAGGGCAUGGCAACCCACUCCAAUAUUCUUGCCUGGAGAAUUCCAUGGACAGAGGAGCCUGGAAGGCUACAAUCCAUAGGAUCCCAAAGAGUUGGACAUGACUGAAGCAACUUAGCAUGCAUGCCGGGAAGUGGGAGAGCCACCUUCUCCUGUGAGAGGAGCCUGUCAAAGAUGAAGAUGCCUGCUGUGUUUAGCUGAGCAGGACAAUAAAAAGAAUCUGAAUCCUGGUUGCUGUCA